rnacentral:rRNA from 1 species
UACGUAGGGCGCAAGCGUUGUCCGGAAUUAUUGGGCGUAAAGAGCUCGUAGGCGGCCAGUUGCGUCUGCUGUGAAAUCCCGGGGCUCAACCCCGGGCGUGCAGUGGAUACGGGCUGGCUAGAGGCAGGCAGGGGAGAACGGAAUUCCCGGUGUAGCGGUGAAAUGCGCAGAUAUCGGGAGGAACACCGGUGGCGAAGGCGGUUCUCUGGGCCUGUACUGACGCUGAGGAGCGAAAGCGUGGGUAGCAAACAGG